ACCAAAGUUUUAAAAAGAUGCAGGAAUCGAUCACUUUUCUCAUUGGUAAAUUCAACUGGACACAAGUUGAACCUGCCGAUCUGUUGGACUCUGAUGCCCCAUCGACUCCAAAACUUCAGACACAAACUCUGGAUCAUAGCUGAUCACUGUUAGCUGAUUAUUUUUGCUCAGCGACACCUCCAACAAGAACUGCACCACCUGAGAUGAGACGCCUGCAGGUCCGACACCUUUUUUCAUCACACCAAAUGUAUUCAUUCAUCUGCUUCAGUGCUCAGAAAGCUCCCUAGGACCAGAAAGUCCGCUGACCAUCCUCCCUGCUGCAGAGAUGGUGUAUGUGAUGGCCGAUGUUGAAGACAUUUUGUCAGGGAUGGUCUUGAAGGAGAUGUUUUCCCUUCUCCAGGGCGCCAUUCAAGAUCUAGAGGCGACCCAACCCAUCCCUUCACCUCCAGAAACUCCACCGACCGUCCUCCCUGCUGCCGAGAUGGAGCAGAUGAUCGCCACCGUUGACAAUAUUUUGUCGGGGAUGGAGUGGGAGGAGAUUUCUUCUCUUCUCCAGGACGCCAUUCAGGAGUUACUGGACAACCAGCCCAUCCCUUCAGGCGCUUCAAGCCAGGUACAGUGCCUGUCGUAUGAGUGGCCCAUGAUACGAGGCCCAUUACCCGCAGCACCGGCCGUCAGUCACCCUGCUGCUGCUCCUCCACACACUUAUAACAAUGUACCAGUGGUGAGGCUCCCUGAAGGCUUACACUACCACCUGCAGUGUGUGGGAAUGAUGAAUGGAGAGCCCUUGUACGCUCUUCCAGCCACAGUUUUCCCUCCUUCUGUCCCUGCUGCUCCUUCUGUCCCUGCUGCUCCUUCUGUCCCUGCUGCUCCUUCUGUCCCAGCUGCUCCUUCUGUCCCAGCUGCUCCUUCUGUCCCAGCUGCUCCUUCUGUCCCUGCUGCUCCUUGUGUCCCUGCUCCUCCUCAGCCGAGCACCUCCGACUCAAACAAGAAAAAGGCUGAAAGUGAGCAGGAGGAUGCCCGGCCAUACAUUAAAAGGCCGCCAAAUGCCUUCAUGAUUUACAUGAAGGAACACAGACCCCAUGUUGAGGAGAACAUUAAGAGGAUGGGAAAUGGGGCUGUGAGUAAAGUCCUUGGAGAGAGAUGGAAGUUACUGUCAGCGGAGCAGCGGGCAGUAUACUUCAAACAGGCCGACAGAGAAAGAUGGCUCCACGCCCUGAGAAACCCCGGCUGGUCUGUCAGCCAAAACUAUGGCAAAAAGAAUAAGAACAAGGAACGCAGAAGAGCUCCUACAGACCCUGCCACCUGUCUAGCUUCAAACAGUAUUCUGGGACCAUAUUUUCCUCAUUCAGUCAUGGAAAAGAGAAAUAUUCCUGACAUCUAAGAGGCCUUGUGUGUCACCAGAGGCAUCCACCUCACGGGCAGCUGUUGAUGGAGGCCUCGACCUCACACUCCAGUGACCGUGCAUGACCCACAUGGAGGCCAGACGGUCAGAGGGUGUGGAGCACCACACAGUGACAGAGCAGCAUGAUUCUCCACCAUGUCCAUCUAGUGCAGAGUGUCAGCUGCCCCCCUCUCCUCCCUUUGGACUUUUGUUAUGUAAUGCAGAUUAAUGUAUAGAUAUAUUGAUUUAUGUAUAGAUAUGACUGAUGUAUGUAUAAAUUGACAUAUGUAUAGAUGCAUUAAUUUAUGUAUAGAUAAGACUGAUGUAUGUAUAGAAGUAUUGAUUUAUGUAUAGAUAAAAUUGAUGUAUGUAUAAAUUGAUUUAUGUAUAGAUAAGAUUGAUAUAUGUAUAAAUUGAUUUAUGUAUAGAUGUAUUAAUUUAUGUAUCGAUAACACUGAUGUUUGUAUAAAUUGAUGUAUGUAUAGAUGUAUUGAUUAAUGUAUAGAGACUGAUGAACUGAUGUAUGUUUAAAUUGAUGUAUGUAUUGAUUUAUGUAUCUAAGAUUGAUGUAUUGAUGUUUGUAUAAAUUGAUGUAUCUAUAGAUGUAUUGAUUUAUGUAUAGAUAAGACUGGUGUAUUGAUGUUUUUAUAAAUGGAUGCAUGUAUAGAUGUAUUGACUUAUGUAUGGAUAACAUUAAUUUAUAAAUUGAUGUAUUGAUUUAUGUAUAGAUAACAGUGAUGUAUUGAUGUUUGUAUAAAUUGAUGUAUGUAUAGAUGUAUUGAUUCAUAUAUAGAUAAGAUUGAUGUAUAAAUUGAUGUAUGUAUAGAUGUAUUGAUUUAUAUAUAGAUAAGAUUGAUGUAUAAAUUGAUGUAUGUAUAGAUGUAUUGAUUUAUGUAUAGAUAAGAUUGAUGUAUAAAUUGAUGUAUGUAUAGAUGUAUUGAUUUAUAUAUAGAUAAGAUUGAUGUAUAAAUUGAUGUAUGUAUAGAUGUAUUGAUUUAUAUAUAGAUAAGAUUGAUGUAUAAAUUGAUGUAUGUAUAGAUGUAUUGAUUUAUAUAUAGAUAAGAUUGAUGUAUAAAUUGAUGUAUGUAUAGAUGUAUUGAUUUAUGUAUAGAUAAGACUGAUGUUUGUGUAAAUUGAUGUAUGUAUAGAUGUACUGAUUAAUGUAUAGAUAAGACUGAUGUAUUGAUGUAUGUAUAAAUUGAUGUAUGUAUAGAUGUAUUGAUUUAUGUAUAGAUAACAUUGAUGUAUUGAUGUUUUCAUAAACGAUGCAUGUAUAGAUGUAUUGACUUAUAUAUAGAUAACAUUGAUGUAUAAAUUGAUGUACUGAUUUAUGUAUAGAUAACAUUGAUGUUUGUAUAAAUUGAUGUAUAGAUGUAUUGACUUAUAUAUAGAUAACAUUGAUGUAUAUAUUGAUGUAUUGAUUUAUGUAUAGAUAACAUUGAUGUAUAAACUGAUGUAUUGAUUUAUGUAUAGAUAACAUUGAUGUUUGUAUAAAUUGAUGUAUAGAUGUAUUGACUUAUGUAUAGAUAAAAUUGAUGUAUUGAUGUUUGUAUAAAUUGAUGUACAUAUAGAUGUAUUGACUUAGGCAUAGAUAAGACUGAUUUAUUAAUGUUGGUAUAAACUGAUGUAUGUAUAGAUGUAAUGAUUUAUGAAUAGAUAAGACUGAUGUAUGUAUAAAUUGAUGUACUGAUUUAUGUAUAGGUAGAUAAGAUUGAUGCAUGGAUAGAUUGUUUUAACUUGAUGUAUAGAUUUGCAAAUGGAUUUACAGAUUGUUGUACAGAUUGAUUGUUGCAUUAUAAUGCAAUAAGACAUUUUAACCAUA